CUGGUGCAGAACAUGGUCAUGUCACCCAAAAAGCUGACACUGCUGGUCUACCUGUGCCUACUUGGAGACCAGUACCAUCGUGCUUACUACCACACCUGUCUCUCCAUUUUCUACUUCUCCUGUGAAUCCAGCUAACUGGUCAUCAGGCCUUAAUGACAUGUUGAUGUGAUGAGCAGGGAACCAACACAGGUUGACAGAGACAUUUUGACUUUUCCAAAAAGACACUCAAACAGUAAAAGUCUUUUCUAUCAUUACAUGUUUAGAUCACUCAUAAAGAAGCUGGUUGACAUAUUCAAAGACAAAUUAUGCUAUUAACGAUUCUGUAGUUUAUUUCUCUUAAACUAAACUCGUCUGUUAUUAAAGAUUUGAGCUUUGGUCAGUCAUAA